AAUGAACGCUGGCGGCGUGCCUAAUACAUGCAAGUCGAGCGACCGCACGAUAAGCUUUUUUUUCUGCUGUUAGCGACUGACGGGCGAGUAACACGUAGAUCACCUUCUUCUAUUACUUGGAUAACUUCGUGAAACCAGUGCUACUACCAGCUCAUAUUUUGUACCGCUUGGUUCAGAAGUUCUAGACGGUCUUCCUGUCACUUUUAGCUGGUUCCGCGUUGGAUUAGCUAGUUGGUAAGGUAACGGCCUACCAAGGCAACGAUGCAUAGCCGACCUGAGAGGAUGAUCGGCCACACUGGAACUGAGACACGGUCCAGACUCCUACGGGAGGCAGCAGUAGGGAAUAUUCGGCAAUGGGCGAAAGCCUGACGGAGCAACGCCGCGUGAGUGAAGAAGGUCUUCGGAUCGUAAAACUCUGUUAUUAGGGAAGAACAGAUGUGGAAGUAACUGUGCAUAUCUUGACGGUACCUAAUCAGAAAGCAACGGCUAACUACGUG
rnacentral:rRNA from 1 species